rnacentral:rRNA from 1 species
GACGAACGCUGGCGGCGUGCUUAACACAUGCAAGUCGAGCGGAAAGGCCCUUCGGGGUACUCGAGCGGCGAACGGGUGAGUAACACGUGAGCAAUCUGCCCCUAGCUUCGGGAUAGCUCCGGGAAACCGGAAUUAAUACCGGAUAUGACUACGGCCGACAUCAGCUGUGGUGGAAAGUUUUUCGGCUAGGGAUGAGCUCG